ensembl:lncRNA
ACAUGAGAGAAGAGGCCGACCCUCAGCUCACUACAACCUCCCUUCAGUUUGGCACCCCAGAUGGGACAGAGCUCCUGCACCUCAACAGUUCCUGGGGUGGUGGAACCUCAGCUGGCACCAAGGUUUUCUCAGGAGGACCCUGAUUCUUGAACUGAAGAGCCCCAGAGCAAGGACUACUGACUAGACUCCCUGAUUUUACUGUAGUAUCCUCCUGUUUCACUGUCAGAUGGACUGUUGAAGCUUCUGUAGGAAAAUUGGUAGCCAGAUGUUUUUUCUUUACAGGGAAUGACUCUCCAGUUUUCCCUUGCUAUCUGCUAACCAUGCUAAGAAGCAAUUAUACUGUUUUAAAGGCCUGAAAGUUGAUGUGCCACAACAAUCAGGGACUCUGAGGAGCUAGCAACAGAAAUGCCAGUUACGUAUUGGCAGUUAUUUAAUGAGCCACUGAAGGUUCAACCAGCUUACUUUUUUUUUUUUUUUUUAAACGUAGUUAUUAAUGAUACAAAUACCACGUGCAAAGAAAGGAUAUUGAUUUGUGGUUUUAUUGAUUUAGGCCUAAGGGCUGGUACAAGAGUUUGGACUGCUUUGGAUGGAAAGAAGUGAGAAGCAUUGGCACCGUGUCUGAACGAAACCAGACAAUUACACAAUAUUGCACGGUAAUUUGGAGGUCCUCCAACGACCUGCCUGCAGCUUGGAUAUAGCUUUAGUACUACAGAGAAAUAAUUUUUUCAAGUGUGAGCCAGUGCAGCCAUAGCCAGUCAUGCUCAGGUGUGCCUACAAAUGCUGUAGGUAUAGUACGUUCUCACUGUCCAUCCAGAAAUGUCGAAAAACAGAAGUAUGAGCUGAUAAAAUGAUUGACUCGAUACUUUAACUGUAGUGUUAAAGCACUGCCAGCAGUUUCCCUUUAAUGUUCAAUCCCCACUGGUUUUAAUCUAUGUAGUUCUGUGCCUCGAGACAAGUUUAAUUUUUCUUUAUAAAAUAGUGACGCAUCCUAGCGCAAAAUAUCUCAAAAUAAAGUUGUGUAUU